rnacentral:rRNA from 1 species
AUGGUGUCGUGGAGCGACGAGACCAGUGAGGAUUCAGUCCUGAACAUCUCCUCCUCUUGUGAUGGCAUCAUCAAGCUUCCAGCUACGAUGCACGAUCCGAAUUUCAAUGGCACUGAUGCAGAUGUGAAUGUCUUGUGUGAACACGGUGAGCCGGCCGAGCGCUUUGUAGCAUUUGAAGGGAUGCACACGGGCAGGAGGUUUCUUGGAUGUGCUAAGAAGCUUGUUCUGACAUGCCUUGUCAUUAGUGGAUUGUACACAUUGUUUAUUGUGGAAGGCAUAAACUGUGGAGUAGUUCAAUGGAUUGAUUUUGAAUGGCCAGACUCAAUGGAGAAGGCAUUGGCCAAGCUAUGGGAUAUGUAUGAGGAGAUUAAGUCAGCUAGGACCAAUGACAAUCUAGAGAGUUCCUUUGCAAUUCACAACCUGACAGAAAAGAAGAAGAAACUACAGAAGAACUAUGACAGUUUGUAUGCUGAUAGUUGUCAAAGAAAAAGGAGGAGAAGAAGAAAGGAGAACUAUGACAGUUUGUAUGCUGAUGUGAAUUCUCUCUUGGAUGCCCAGCAGCAGAGGGGUGUGGAGUUAAACAAUCAGAAGGAGCAGAAGGAAUAUGUUGAUGUGAAGAUUGUUGAGCUUGAGACUGUAGUGGGGAACUUGAAGGCAGAGCUGUCAAAGAGAGAGGAGGAGAAGAAGAAGAUGCUGCAAAACUAUGAAACUCUGAAGAACCUGACAUGUGCUCAAGCCAAUGUGAUUAGGAACUUGAAGUUCAAUCAUUUGAAGGAGAAGGAGAGGCUGACAGAAGAGAGGCUUAAACUGUAG